CCUUCGAUAGCUCAGUCGGUAGAGCGGUGGACUGUAGAUCCAUAGGUCGCUGGUUUCAAAUCCGGCUCGAAGGA